GACGGAAGGUGCAAGCGUUGCUCGGAAUCACUGGGCGUAAAGGGUGCGUAGGCGGCCGUGUAAGUCUGGCGUGAAAGCCCCGGGCUCAGCCCGGGAAGUGCGCUCGAAACUGCACGGCUCGAGUGCCGGAGGGGAGAGUGGAAUUCCUGGUGUAGCGGUGAAAUGCGUAGAUAUCAGGAGGAACACCGGGUGGCGAAGGCGUCCCUCUG
rnacentral:rRNA from 1 species